rnacentral:rRNA from 1 species
CCUACGGGAGGCAGCAGUGAGGAAUAUUGGUCAAUGGCCGGAAGGCUGAACCAGCCAUGCCGCGUGAAGGUCAGUGCCCUAUGGGCGUUAAACUUCUUUUGUGCGGGAGCAAUAAUGGUCACGUGUGGCCAGACGAGAGUACCGUACGAAUAAGCAUCGGCUAACUCCGUGCCAGCAGCCGCGGUAAUACGGGGGAUGCAAGCGUUAUCCGGAUUUAUUGGGUUUAAAGGGUGCGUAGGCUGUGAGGUAAGUCAGCGGUGAAAUGCCCCCGGUCAACGGGGUGAAGUGCCAUUGAUACUGCCUGGCUGGAAUGCGGAUGCCGUGGGAGGAAUGUGUGGUGUAGCGGUGAAAUGCAUAGAUAUCACACAGAACACCGAUUGCGAAGGCAUCUCACGAAUCCGCGAUUGACGCUGAUGCACGAAAGCGUGGGUAUCAAACAGGAUUAGAUACCCCAGUAGUC